rnacentral:lncRNA from 1 species
UCCUGGAACUCUGGAAGUGUCAGCUUUUUUUAGUAAAUACUACACUUUGCUAGAUAAAUUGGACAAAUAUCAAAUUGAUUCCUGGAAUAUAUAGUUAGUAUAAUUCCAGUUUUCUGAGCAAUUCUACAGAUGUCAUUUGAAGUCGGUUAUCAAGGUGUAUAUGACUUUUUUGAAAGAAGACUGUCACUAAGUUGAUUUGAAUACUUAUUAGAGACUUAAGAGGAGAUGGUUCACAAGUAUUGGAAACCCCGGAAACCCCAGUAAUAAGAAUUUAUCGCUGAGUAUCACUCUUGGUUUGAUUUUACGACUAGAGCACUGCUUUAAAUCCUUUUCACAUUUGUAAAUAUUAUUGGUAAUGACAGAAUUUUAAGUAUUUAUUUUUAUGUCUAUCUUUCAAAUAAAUUUAAUUAUCAACUUUA